CCCCCUACGGGGGGCAGCAGUGGGGAAUAUUGCACAAUGGGGGAAACCCUGAUGCAGCGACGCCGCGUGAGUGAAGAAGUAUCUCGGUACGUAAAGCUCUAUCAGCAGGGAAGAAAAUGACGGUACCUGACUAAGAAGCCCCGGCUAACUACGUGCCAGCAGACGCGGUAAUACGUAGGGGGCAAGCGUAAUCCGGAUUUACUGGUUGUACAGGGAGCGUAGACGGCAGCACAAGUCUGGAGUGAAAUCCCGGGGCUUAACCCCGGCACUGCUUUGGAAACUGUGCGGCUGGAGUGCAAGCGGGG
rnacentral:rRNA from 1 species